UACGAGGAGCUAGCGUAGUCGAAUACUGGGGCGUAAGCGCACGUAGGCGGCUUUUAAGUCAGAGGUGAAAUCCCGGGGCUCAACCCCGGAACUGCCUUUGAAACUGGAAAGCUAGAAUCUUGGAGAGGCGAGUGGAAUUCCGAGUGUAGAGGUGAAAUUCGUAGAUAUUCGGAAGAACACCAGUGGCGAAGGCGACUCGCUGGACAAGUAUUGACGCUGAGGUGCGAAAGCGUGGGGAGCAAACAGGAUUAGAUACCCGUGUAGU
rnacentral:rRNA from 1 species